GGUUCUAGAAAAUCUAAAGAUGUAGGACAUUUUAGAAUAUGCAUUUAUUCCAAAAAAUAUGAAUAUUUAAAUAGUAUAUUGCUAGAAAAUGUUCAAUAGUGAUUGAGAAACUGAUUAGAUGGUUUUGCUGAUAUGUUUGUUUUACUUUCAACUUGUGUUUUGUUAUACCUGUGUGGCAAUUAUAAGGUUAGUAUUUUAUUGCUUUUAUCUAAAGGUCAUUAAAAGAUGUACGGAACAUAGGAUAGAGUAUGAUAUUUAAAAUG